CCUACGGGAGGCAGCAGUGGGGAAUAUUGCGCAAUGGGCGAAAGCCUGACGCAGCGACGCCGCGUGAGGGAUGAAGGUCUUCGGAUCGUAAACCUCUGUCAGCAGGGAAGAACGGUCACUGUGCUAAUCAGCAGUGAAUUGACGGUACCUGCAAAGGAAGCACCGGCUAACUCCGUGCCAGCAGCCGCGGUAAUACGGAGGGUGCGAGCGUUAAUCGGAAUUACUGGGCGUAAAGCGCUCGUAGGCGGUAUGUCAAGUCAAGGGUGAAAUCCCCGCGCUCAACGUGGGAACUGCCUUUGAAACUGACAAACUUGAGUGUCGGAGAGGAUAGUGGAAUUCCAGGUGUAGGAGUGAAAUCCGUAGAGAUCUGGAGGAACAUCAGUGGCGAAGGCGACUAUCUGGCACAUAACUGACGCUGAGGAGCGAAAGCGUGGGUAGCAAACAGGAUUAGAUACCCUAGUAGUC
rnacentral:rRNA from 1 species